CUCAGUGCCGGAUGAUUUCCAAGUCAUGCAACACGUGUCUUGCCACGCCGAGCGCCCUGAUCUCAAGCCUGUGUAUCCAGCCUGCCUCUCAGUGUUCGUUUGUGAGUUCUUUUGUUACUAUCCAGAGAGUUUUUCCCUUGAGCAAAGGAGAUUUUGUGUUUGGGUUUUUUCCUCCAGUUGAGAAGAUUUUUUGGUUUACUAUUUCUGUUGCACUUUGUCUUUUUACAUCCUUAGUUGUUACUUGCCCCAUGUGGCACUAUCAUUUGAACUUUUUUUUUUUUUUUUCACCAGCUAUUUUUGCCUUGCUGCAGUGACUAUCUUCAAACCCUGGUUUUAUGUUUUUUAGGUGGCAGUCCGAGCUGACCAUGCCUUUUUCCGGAAACGGCGAUUUUCUAUUGUUCACUUGUUGUUGUUCUAUUAUUUAUUGUCAAUAAAUGUGGGCAUUUGCCUC